AACGAACGCUGGCGGCAUGCCUAACACAUGCAAGUCGAACGAUGCCUUCGGGCAUAGUGGCGCACGGGUGCGUAACGCGUGGGAAUCUGCCCUUGGCUUCGGAAUAACAGUUAGAAAUGACUGCUAAUACCGGAUGAUGACCCCCUGAGAGAUCUUGGGGACCAAAGAUUUAUCGGCCAGGGAUGAGCCCGCGUAGGAUUAGGUAGUUGGUGGGGUAAAGGCCUACCAAGCCGACGAUCCUUAGCUGGUCUGAGAGGAUGAUCAGCCACACUGGGACUGAGACACGGCCCAGACUCCUACGGGAGGCAGCAGUGGGGAAUAUUGGACAAUGGGGGGAACCCUGAUCCAGCAAUGCCGCGUGAGUGAUGAAGGCCUUAGGGUUGUAAAGCUCUUUUACCAGGGAUGAUAAUGACAGUACCUGGAGAAUAAGCUCCGGCUAACUCCGUG
rnacentral:rRNA from 1 species